rnacentral:rRNA from 1 species
GAUAAACGCUGGCGGCGUGCCUAAUGCAUGCAAGUCGAACGGUCUAGUUUCUUCGGAAGCUAGGUAGUGGCAAACGGGUGAGUAACACGUGGGGAUCUGCCCAGUAGUGGGGAACAACUCCGAGAAAUCGGAGCUAAUACCGCAUACGGUAGGUGUUGAAGGACACCAUACUAAAGCCGACGUAAGAAGGCGCUAUUGGAGGAACCUGCGGCUGAUUAGCUAGUUGGUGGGGUAAAGGCCUACCAAGGCGAUGAUCAGUAGCUGGUCUGAGAGGAUGGACAGCCACACUGGGACUGAGAUACGGCCCAGACUCCUACGGGAGGCAGCAGCAAGGAAUUUUCGUCAAUGGGGGAAACCCUGAAUGAGCAACGCCGCGUGGG